GCUCUCUGGUUACCCUAGCAGCAAGGAGGGGGAAAAGAACACCAAAAGGAAAAACAGUGUCAUGUGUGGCACAGCCAGCUUCGUUUUCUGCAGAGGACUUCGGGUAAAUGCAGUGAUCAUCUCUGCCACAGCACAGGGACACCUAAAAGCUGCCUGUGUUAAUCAUAGAGCUCUGUACUGCAGAGGGAUUUAACAGCUCUGGGCACAUUUUCACCCUGCUUGGGUCCACCUGAGCCACCUCUGCACAGCACCACCAAGGCAGCACACCCCAGUGAAGCAAGUCUUGAGCCUAGCAUGGGAAGUUCCCAGCACAGCCCUAAGCUGAUGGACUUGGACUGGAUCUUACUUGGUUUACAGUUGUCACUGCAGUGCUUGAAAUUUAUGCUGAAAUGUUCAGAGUUUCCUUUUUUCUGCUGCCAAAGCAUCUGUGGGAAAGAGGGGAAAAUCCAGCUCCAGACCUGAGAGAUGGAGCUGAAAAGCAUAAUCCUGCAAAGCUGGGAGGAAACCUCUGUCCCUUCCUGAAACUCUUGGUAUUGUCUCUCUGCAGCCAAAGAGCUUGAAUUAUGUAUCUGGAAGCUACAGAGCUUAUGUUUCACUCAGCCUUAGUCCAGCUCAUCACGACCAGGCUUUUCCACCAAGACAAUGCUUUGACAAGAGGAUGAUACUACACAUGGCUCACCCCAGUGACCAGUGGUUUAAGCACUGCAACCCCUGGAUGCUCCUCUCAUACAGCAGAAGCAGACCCACAGCGAGCACAACAUGGGUCACGUCUCCAACGCAAGACGCUUCUGCGCAUCAACCUGUUUGUUCCCGUGGUAAUGAUCUCCCCUUGCAAUGCCUUCGGUGAGGUGUCCUUACCUCUGGAAAACUGGCCAUGUUCACUACAAUGAGCUGCGGUGACUUCAGGGAGAUCUGCC